GCAUUUUGAUAAUUUGAAUUUAAUGCGGUGAAUCCCCCUGUGCGGAGGGGCACGCAGUCAGGACUCCAGAAGGGUAGAUAGCGCGGGUAAAGUUGACUGGCUUUACUCACCGGGAGGCACCCGGCACCGCAGAAUUUUGAUUUAUUCUUACUAUUUACCGCCAGAG
rnacentral:sRNA from 1 species